AAUUCUAACCCUUUGCGUACCUUACAUUCUAGACUCGAGAAUACGGUUUUGUUCUCUCUCCUAUUUACCCCUGUUACCUCUUUCCAUUAUUUGUUCAGUUACCGAAACCCUAACUUCUCUGCAACUCCUUCAACGGCCAUGGCCGCAGAUGAACUAGACACUCGAAAGAAACACCGAAGGUCACCUGAUGAAGGAGCAGAGGAGGGGUCAAAGCGCCGUAAGCACAGCCACAAGAGCCGCAGCAGUAGCAGCCAUCAUCGACGUCGCCAUCGACAUCGCAGCAGUAAACAUGAUAACGAUAGCAAGUAUGAAGAAGACGAAACUGCUUCUGCUGUUGCGCCAAGCUCUAAUUCACGUCCUGAUGACGAGAAGGAAGAGGGUGAAAUUCUCGAAGAAGAGGAAGAUCUUGGUGUCGGUCAUAAGGAGGUUUCGAAAAAUAAAAUGGACUCUGAUGUUGAGUCUGGUGAGAUUAAGCCGGAUGAAGUCGUUGGCAUAUCGAAUAAUCGGGAUCGGGGAAUUCAUGGUGAGAGAGGUGAUCCUAGUAAAUUUGGAGAAGAACUCGAGCCAAGCCUCAGUUCGCUGCCUGAUGAUAGUAUAGAGAAAAAUGCUCUAAGUUCAAAGACAUUGAAAGUUUAUGGGGGUGAUGCUACAUCUGAUUUAUCAGUGAACGCCAGAAACAAGUUUGAGCAUCAUCUGAGUCUACAUUCUGAUGGGGAGGAUGUUGAGGUGAAAAGUGUUGAGGUUUCUUAUCUGAGGGAUUCAAAGACUGAACAUUCAGCAUUUGGUGUGAAGGAGCAUGAGGUGGGGGAAAUUGAUGAUCUGAAUGCUGGAUCUGAAAACAUGAGGUCUAAGAACAAGAAGAGGGAAAUACAAGGUGACAUGUCUCCCAGGAAUGAGCUGGGGGAAAUAGGUGCACUGAAGACUGGGUCUGAAAGCAUCAGGUCUAGGGACAAGAAGAGUGAAAUACAAGGUGAAAUGUCUCCCAGGAAUGGUGGGGUGAGCCAUGAAAAUGGGGAUAUUGGUCACAAAUCCCAUAAGGAGGAUGAAAGCCAACACAGGGGCUCUAGAACCCCUCUAAAAGGUGCUAGAAAGGAUAAGUAUUAUAGGGAGUCUGAUGAAAAUGACUCAAGAAGGUAUGUUAGGUCAAGAUCACCAGCAGCUAGAGAAGAUGUUCAUCAGGGUAGGAACAGAAAGAUUGAGGACAGUGGUGGUAGAACCAAUAGGAGCAGGGAAACAGAAUUGCAUAAUUAUAAGAGAUAUGAGUCCAGACUGCCUUCCGAAUCAAUUGAUGAAGAGAGAAAUGGUUCAGGGGAUCAGAACAAAUCAGUUUCACCUGAAAAUACAAGGAGCAAGUACAAGACUUUAUCAUACUCUCCAUAUAACGAGAAAUAUUCUGGCAAGUCCCACAGAAACAGCUCAAGGUCACGUGAUAGCAUUGGAGAUAGGAGAUCUCGGUCCCGAAGUAUUUUAAUGGAUGGGGUCCAUCAUGAGAUGAGUGGGAAAUCACACAAAGAUGAUAGCGACCUAAUUGAACCGUUUGAUUCACGAGAGAGGGAAACAGACAAUUUUGAUUCCAAAAGAGUAAGAUACGGUAGGGAAGAUCGACAUAGUAGUAGGGACUGGGUGAGGGAUAGUGAGAGAGAGCUGAGCUACAGCAGAUACAGUGGCCGAGAGGCUGGGCAUGGCAUUCGGGAUACUCGGGACAAAGAUAGGGAUAAAGGUAGGGGGAGGGAGAGUGAUAAAGAGAGAGACAGAGGUAGGAACAGGGAGAGGGAGAGGGAGAGGGAGAAGGAUCGGGAGAGGGACAGGGAGAAGGUCUGGGACAAGGAGAGAGAUAGGUACAGGAAUAGGGGUGGGGUGGGGGAGAGGGAGAGGGAGAGAGGUAGGGAGAGGGAGAGUGAUAGGGUGGGCAGACAUCUAUCUGAUGGUCAUAAUGAUGCAUAUGGUGGUCAAGAUAGGUCGAAAGAUUCUAGGCAAUUGAAACAUGAACUGGAUUGCCACUACAGGAGAGGAAAAAAAGAUCCAGUUAAGGUGCCCGGUAUCAUUGAUGAUCUGGAAAGGCGUGACAAGAAACCACAGAGAGAUGAAGAGGUAGAAGAAGACUAUGAGGAUAGGGUUUCAUUACAACUAGCGGAACAAGAAGAAGAGGAUGUUGACAGAAUUAAGGAGGAGAGCAGAAAAAGAAGGCAAGCCAUACUAGAGAAAUAUAAACAACAGCAACAGCAGUCACAGCAACUGGUCGAACCACAUGGUCGAACCUCAACUAAAGAGGAGAAUGGUUCUCUCAAUGUUGACAAGGCUGCAGAACAGAAACUUUCUCCAAAGGCAGUUAAUUCUACAUCUGAUGCUCCUGAGGGUAGGAAUGAUAGUCCCGAGGCUGAUGUCCCUGAUCCUACAUUUUCUGUAUGGAAAUCACCUCCACGUAAUGGAAUGUUGGCCCAUGAGAAUACUUCUGGUGCUGGGGGUUUAGGGGAUGGGACUCCAAAGAGUGAGAGAUCAGCGGAUAUGUUCUGUGAUGAUAUUUUCGGAGAGUCACCUGCUGGAGUUCGUAAAACUGGAAAAGGAGAUGGUUUGCAUCUUGAAAGAAGUGGUCUUCAUGACAACUGGGAUGAUGCAGAGGGUUAUUACAGCUAUCGAUUUGGAGAAAUACUUGAUGGUAGGUAUGAAGUUACUGCAGCUCAUGGGAAAGGUGUUUUUUCGACAGUAGUUCGUGCAAAGGACCUCAAGUCUGGGAAGGGUGAUCCUGAAGAGGUAGCUAUAAAAAUCAUACGCAAUAAUGACACUAUGUACAAGGCAGGUUUAGAAGAGCUGAUAAUAUUGAAGAAAUUAGCUGGUGCAGAUCCUGAGAAUAGGCGCCAUUGUGUUCGAUUUUUCUCAAGUUUCAAGUACCGGAAUCAUCUUUGUUUGGUUUUUGAAUCUCUUCAUAUGAAUCUUCGUGAGGUACUAAAGAAGUUUGGCCGUAAUAUUGGCCUUAAUCUAGGAGCUGUAAGAGAAUAUGCCAAACAGCUUUUUAUUGCAUUAAAGCAUCUGCGGAACUGUGGAGUCCUGCAUUGUGACAUAAAGCCUGAUAAUAUGCUGGUAAAUGAGGCAAAAAAUGUGUUGAAGCUUUGUGAUUUUGGUAAUGCCAUGUUCGCUGGGAAAAAUGAGAUCACACCAUAUCUUGUGAGCCGCUUUUACCGAGCUCCUGAGAUAAUUCUUGGCUUGCCAUAUGAUCAUCCCAUGGAUAUGUGGUCCGUUGGUUGUUGUUUGUAUGAGCUUUAUUCGGGAAAAGUCCUUUUUCCAGGCCCAUCAAAUAAUGACAUGUUGCGUCUCCACAUGGAGUUGAAGGGUCCUUUUCCAAAGAAGAUGCUCCGCAAGGGUGGAUUUAUCCAUCAGCAUUUUGAUCAGGAUUUGAAUUUUCAUGCUACUGAAGAAGAUCCUGUUACAAAGAAAACUGUGAAGAGGCUGCUUCUCAAUAUUAAGCAAAAAGACAUUGGCUCCUUAAUUACAAGCUCCCCUGGUGAGGAUCCGAAGAUGUUGGCGAAUUUCAAAGAUCUUAUAGAAAAAAUAUUUGUCUUAGAUCCAGAGAAGAGAUUAACAGUAUCUCAAGCAUUGAGUCAUUCAUUCAUCACGGGCAAGUGAACAAAGAUGCUGAUUUUCUGACCCCAGAAAUGCUGUUGAGCUAGAUACAUGUACAUUAUGAUCUCAAUUUAUUUUCAGCUCUCUAAUCAUUGGGAAUUUCUCUGUCUUUAUCUCUCUGUGAUGGCCUAAGAGGGAUCGACACAGAGUUAUUGGCGUGGAUGAAAUGCGAAGAUGAUGAUGUUUGGUCUGAAGACCUUCCUACAUGGCGGUUCUUUCAGUGGGAUGGGUUCUGUUUCUAUUGGUUUCAUCCAGGGCUAUGACGCAACAAUCACUGCUUUAGAUGCUUAGAAGGCAACCAAAAGAAGGCUUUUGCACUGGCGAUGAGAGGUUGCAGUGUUGCAGUUAAUGCUCAACUUGGGCAUAGUUGCUAAGUUCAUGGAAUUCCAGAGUAAAGGUUGCUGUUUUGGCUGCUUAUAGAAUAAAUAAAGGAAGCCAGUGAUCAAUGGAAGCCUUGCCUUGAAAAGAGAGAAACUAAAUAUCUUUUCCAUAGAUUGGGGGGCGGUCUGAAUUCUGAACACCUCGAGUGGCUAACUUAACUAACUUCCAAGGAGUUAAAGAGUUCUUUAUGGAGACAUAAUAAUGAUUUAUUGUAUGAGAGCUGAAUGGUUAGGAUCAUGAAGAUGAGCUGAAUUAUUAGUGUAGCAGUUCUGAUGCUGUUGCACGAUGGACUUAGGGAAAAAAAAAAAUCUUUUGAUUUGAUUUUUUUCUGUUUUAGAAACAAUUUCUUUGAAAUUAGUUAGUUUCUAAUUUUAUAUUAGUUUCCAUUUUAAGUUAGUUGCCAUUAAUUUUUAUUUUUUUUCUUUAUAUUGGACAUGUACUCGAUGGAGAAAUUUCAGUUUUAGAAUUUUGAAUAAUUGAAUGAAGUUGGAGAAUAUGGGUUUGAAUCCAUGACUGCUGAUCCUCUCUUCCUCCCUUUCUUUGCAGCCCGAUUGGAAUGCUUCGAACUCAGCUGUGCGUGAGUUGUUUGGGGUGGGCUGUUGGUCGAAGGUAACCCUCCCAAAGGCGACCCUGACCCUUGAAAAUCAGGCUUGAAGGUGACUCCUGCUGUGUGAAACAAAAACCUGCAACUCAGGUUACCUGAAGCUACCACCAGAUCUGAUUUCAGCAUGUGCUGCUCCCCUUUGAUUGCUGUUUUGAAGUGUUUUUCUCUUGGAAUCAAGAGGCCAAAAGGUUUCCAGCCUUCGCCUGGAAUUUUUGGCUUUUCCGAGAAGAACUGAAGCAGCUUCCUUUUCCACACGGUUCUGAGGUUUCCGCCAUCUGCUUUGUGCUCCCAAACUUCUGAGAAAGAAUUCUUCAACAACUGAGAUAGCCAGCCCACCGUCCCACCCACAUGGCCACGUCCAUCCAACAAGAAGCAUUCAAGAACCCUAAUUUGGAGAUCGAUUCAAAUUUGGGCCCUUUCGGAUUGCUUGGUCUCGAGCUAUUUACAAAAUACCAAUUCUGCCAUUCCCUUCUCAAGAUUUGUAAACCAAAACAGGCUCACCAACAUGGCACCACGCAUAAAAGAGCCAAUGAGCAGAUACGAUAGAGGUCUGUGACGAGAAGGUGGUGUACCAAACUGGUAAUUGGCAGAAUAGUAUUUUCUACAUAAAGCUAGAUUAACUUUAUGUUUAAUUGCCUUAGGUGCUUUAGCUUUGAGGCAGUGGUUAAUUAUAGUUCGAAAAACGAAAUUGAUUCGAUUUCCUCAAGUGUCAACACUUCCCGAACUUUGGACGAAGUCAGGAUAAGUUUUGACACAUAGUUCAUCCUAAUGUGGUGGUAACUUUGGAAAAAACUGGUUUAACCAAUGGUCAGAAUGACUAGGAUCCAACAAUUGGUAAUAAUGCAUGUAUGCCUUUGCAAAGUCUUCAAAAGCAUUCAUGUCAUAAAGAUUUAAUUUUGUUAAAUUAAAACUUAAAUUUUCUAAAUGUGUAUCCAUGGGUUGGACUCCACAAAAUUCUGUUUUAAUAAUUUUUGUAAAUUGGAGAAGGAUGUCUUCCCAAUUAUUAAAAUUAGCAGGGAGCUUGGUCUUUUUAGCCUUUCCCUUGUCUGUGUAUUGAUAUUUUCUCAUAAAUUGCAGAACAUCUCUUUGUAAGGUUCUUGCAAUAUAUUCAAGGAAUCUUUCUUUGGACCAUGAAUUUUUUUUAUUGGUGAUUAGGUUACCGAAAGUUUUUGCCCAAUCAUCAAUCACUGAUUCAUAAUUUUUUAAAGGAAUGUGUCGGGUCAAGAUAGGUUCCUCCUGACGCAAUAUUAGUUUUAUGCAAGUCAUCUUUUCGUUGGUAAAAAGACAUUGGGGUUGGAUCAUCUUCUUCUUUGGUAGUGAAGAUGUUAUCAUUAAAAUGUAUUCUUGAUCUUGUUUGGGGGGCAAACUCAAGAUCUUCGUCAAGAUGAUCAUUAGAAGAGAAUCUUCUUUUAAAACGCGGUUUAGAACUAAACUCAAGUUUGUCUGCGUCUGGGACUGGGACUGAAUGUUCAUCAUCCGAGGAUGUCUCGGUUGAUUCCGAAUCAGACUGAUGUUUAGUAACAUUGAGUUGCCUGUCAUCUCUGUCUGAGUCAUCACUGAACAACAUAUAUUCAUGCUUUCUAAAAACCGACUCGUUAUCGGAAUAGGAAGAAUGCAUCAUUUGUAAUAAUUCUGAUUGUUUAGUUGGGUCUGAAGAUUCUUUAUAUCUAUACUUCCAAUGAUCUAAAUCUUCCUUGUAGUGAGGAAAUCAGAGUUUUGGGAGGUUGAUUGAACCGUUGGGUCGGCAAUUGUUGAUAUGAUCACAAAUUUAUAACGAGAAGAAAAAGGUGGUUCUUUGUCCUUCUGCGAUUCAAUUUUGUCUAUUUUUCCAUUUAACUUAUGAAAAGUAAUAUAAGAAAAAUCUAUUAAACUGUUUAAACUACUAAUAGUAGUUAAAGUAGGCUUGGAAUGAAAAGUAUGCUUAUUCUAUUUGUGAACUUCAAAAGAAAUGGGUAGAUUGAAUUCAUAUGGAGUUUACCAGAAUGAUGGUUAUAUUUUCGAAGUGAUUUAUUCUUUCUUCUGAAGCAAAUUAUCCUUCCUGCCCCCCUCCCCCUCUCUUUGUGCUGUCCAUUUAUGUUCAUAUUUUAUAUGUCUAAUGAGUUGAUAAUGAAGUGAAUUGCUGUUAGUAUACUUCUAAUAUUUUCCGUGAUCUGCCUUGAGGAUGGAAGGAACUCAUAGCUAUGGAAGAUGUCGUGGAUAUAGUCUCAAAUUAAAUUCACAUGAAACAGGUAACUUUUGAAAACAAUUACAAGAAACUCUCGCAACUGAAUCUUCCAGGUAUUUGUUGCACAAUGCAUCUAAGUUUAUUGGCUGUUAUGAUAGCCAAUUCACCGAACAUUCCUGGUAAGAACUUGACCAUAACAAUUUGGAGAAAAUAUACUGAAUGUACUUGCAUAUCAGUUGGUUUCAGAUCAUGUAGAUUUUAGACAGAAUGCCUUCUAGGUUUGAGAUUCUAGUAAUACCCAUAAAUAUAAAUUAUUCUCCAUCUAUCCUGUUAUUUGCUAAGGUCACAACUCCCAUUGAAAAUAUGGAGAAGCUGUUGCUGCCCCACUUGGGCGGGGGGCAACUGGUAAGAACUUUCUAUUCCUUUGCUGUUUUCAUUUUUUCUACUGUUUCAAAACCUUGGGACCCAACUAGGGUAUCACAUAUUUAAACUUUCAUACUGGCUUAGUAUCAGUUAUAGGUUGAGGAGGAGGAAGUAUCAUGUGGUUUUUAGUGGAUCCCUUUGUAUUGCUUGUUUGUCUUAGCAUCCCUUUGUAUUGCUUGUUUGUCUUAGCAUCAAUGAUUAUAAAUGCUGUAUGUGACACUCUAGUGUACAGAUAUAGUGAAACAAUAAGAGCAACCAGAAGAAGUUAGUGAUGUGUAACAAUUUGAGAAAUAAAUUCUUCCAAAAGGAUUUGAGUGGAAACAGGCCCCCGAAUCUUGAAUUGAUAUUAAUAAGUUAUGCCUGGUUUGACCUUGACCUGUGGUGAAUGCUGAAUCAGCAACUUGCCUUUGCUGCACUACCUGGUUGAAGAAGUCGUGGGGUUUGAUAGGGCUUCUCUGAAGAUUUGUGGUGAAAGCUAAAUCUGUAUUUCAUUCAUUUCUUGUUUUUUCAUAUACAGUUUCUCAAGUUGUUUCCUUAUAAGUUGAACAGAAGAGUUAAGUCAUUUAUUUAUGGCAAGUUUACUGAGGGAUUUCUUUUAUUAAAAGGCCAGAAUUGAACUUGCAA